UCCGCGCAGCUCGGCCGCCGGGCUCCUCCUCCUUCCCCGCCCUCCUGCCCGCUCAGGUGGGAAAAUGCAGGGACAAUGACUGAAGAGCUGCAUGGAAGAGAAGGUGACCACAGAGAUGGUCCUGUCAUAACUCAGUCACUCUCCAAAGAGACAAAGCAGAAGAAAGGCAGUGGUCUGAGCACAAAAAUAGCCUGGAAAGAGAAAGCUUCACACUCUCUGAGACCUGCAACUAAAAUAUGCCAAAAGUUAUUGCUGCUUCAAGUAGCAUUAAGUUCUGCUUGGUGCCCAGCAGGAGCUAUGUAGAUUUAGUGAGUGGCUUCAACUUUGGCACUGAAAAUGUGGAUAUUCCACCACCUUACCAGGACCCAAAUCCCAUCCACUACUCUAGUAGUGAUUUCAGACACUGGCUUGAAUGAAACCUUUUCCCACGAUUUUCAAAUUCAGUUCUCAACAGCAAAGGGGUGAGAGGUUCAGAAAUAACAUGAGAACAGGUGACCACUGAGAUGUGAAUAAAACGGAGCAAACUCAUGCUCUUUAUUGCCUUUCAUUACACCAGGACAUCUAGUGUAGUGUGGAAAACUAAAUUAAAGACCUGGCAAAUAUGAAAGAGUAAAAUACCUCCAGCUGCAUGCAGUAAAGCUUCAAUAGCAUUAGGGAGUCCUGAGGUCAUUACAAACUGCAGGUACAGGGCUCCGUGGAUUGUUUACUUUCAUGAGGGACACAGGAAAAAAAAUUACAUGUACCCUGAAUAUAUGUAGACUUUGUAAAUAUGUUAAUAGUUACAAUCAAGGUUCUCAUUUUGCUGUAAGAAUCAUUAGGCAGUACAAUCUUAGUGGGAAGUUAAGUAACUUAUAAUUUGUUUUAAUACUUUAAACCUGCAAACAAAUGAGGGUUUUUUUUUAAUAGCAAGCCAUACCUUUUGGGAGUACUCUCAUCAUGUAUGUGCAAAAUAACUCACAAAAAUGUUUAAAGACAUUUAACAGGCCAGAAUUUGUCUCAAAGUCAGUUGUACUGAAAUUUAGUAGCUAAGUUUGUGUCUUCACUUUUUCUGGGUAACUGAAGGUUUUUAUUGUUUCUAUGCCAUUACAAAAAAACUGCCCUACAAAUAUCCAUGUAAGAACUUUAUGAAAAUGUUAAAUAAAAGAAGCAUUUGUCACUGAUUUGCCUGGACAUCUGUGAGAAGGAUAAUAAAAUCACAGUACAA